CCUACGGGUGGCAGCAGUGAGGAAUAUUGGUCAAUGGACGCAAGUCUGAACCAGCCAAGUCGCGUGCAGGAUGACUGCCCUACGGGUUGUAAACUUCUUUUGUACGAGGGUAAACUCAGACACGCGUGCCUUUUUGUAAGUACCUUAUGAAUAAGGAUCGGCUAACUCCGUGCCAGCAGCCGCGGUAAUACGGAGGAUUCUAGCGUUAUCCGGAUUUAUUGGUGUUAAAGGGUGCGUAGGUGGGGGGUGAAGUUAGGGGUGAAAUUCCGAGGCUCAACCGCUGAAUUGCCUUUGAUACUGUCAGGCUGGAGAGUAGUUGAGGUAGGCGGAAUGUGUGGUGUAGCGGUGAAAUGCUUAGAGAUCAUGCAGAACACCGAUUGCGAAGGCAGCUUACCAAGCUGCUACUGACAUUGAGGCACGAAAGCGUGGGUAGCAAACAGGAUUAGAUACCCCAGUAGUC
rnacentral:rRNA from 1 species